rnacentral:lncRNA from 1 species
GAGACCACAAACCCAUUUUUUGAAGGCACGGUAAAUGUUCCCUAAGCUUGGACAAAUGGAGAUCAAAGCAGGACCUAUUGGGCUGGAAACCUCAGAACCCCUCCAAAUUCUGCUUCCUUGGUUGCAUUGGGUUUCCAUAGCAACCAAGGGGCUUCAGUAAAGAUGGUGAGUGGGGAAUUAAAAGACAGAGAGCAGAGAAGAGAGGAGGAGUAAGUGGUGGGGAGACAGAUGGGGAGCUGGCAGGAACUCCGGGGGGAUCCCCAAGUCCCAUGUUAUUCUGGAAGGUUGUGCCAAGAAGGAUCUGUUGGUUGCUCUCCCUCCCAUCUGGGUCUCGCUGCACCCUAAGAAGUGACUGUCCAUCUGGGCAGGCCCAGAGCUGAUCGCUUGUGAGCCCCCUCCCUCUGCUUGGCAGACACUGAGCGAGGCCUGGACUCUAUCCCUCAGCAAAAAACAUGAGGAAGCCCUGGGCUGAUUCAGGGAAGACUUGCUUGCCCUUCCUUGCUUGGCUGUCAGUGGAAGGAGAAAGGACUGUCCAGGCACUGUCCCCGGCUGAACAUAGUCCUUUGCCCUGACAUUUGGGGAUCGUGGCCUAGCUCCCAGUGGUUAAAGAUCGUAUGGCUCGAGUGUAGGACCUGACUGGAAGUACUCAGAACAAGAGCCCAGGCCUGGGUGCUGCUCUGAGAUAUGCAGGAGAAGCCUGAAGAAAGCCCUUCUGGAGUGGCAACCUGUUCCUCCCUCUGGGAAAUACCUGAGCCUGAAGUCUGCAAGGGAUCCUGGGAGGACCCAUGACAUCUGCCAGCAGCCUGGACACCUUGGUCCUGAGACCCAGGACAACUGUGUGGAGAACAGAUCUGGAAUGGAUCACUUGAUCUUGUGUAUGCUGGACAAAGGCUUCAGAUUCAACCAUUUCAAUUUGACAAACACCAUCACAUUUCAGGACAUCAUCCUCCACAAAGAAAUCCUGCGUUCCAUCCUAACAAAUACCUGUGCUAUACUUCACCGUUCUGCUUGCCUCCUGCCCUGCCUCCUUUGGUUUCUUCGACAGCCUUCCCUGGAGUCACUGCCUUCUACACAGUGCCUAAGAGCAAGCCCAUGAAACAUUCAUGGUGGGUAAUCCACUGUGGAGGACCUACUGAUAGCUGUCCUGAUAGAACAGGCAGGUCAUCAGAGGCUGGGCUUGGGCUCAGGUUCCAGCCACUUCCCUGAAACUGGUCCUGAUUCUCCCAAGGGAAGGCUGGAAGUUCAGAUCCUGAGCUGCUAGCAGACGUUCCUGUGACGGGAUGUGAUGUAGCAGCUCAGGGAGGGAGAGUGGUUUCAAGGUUACCCAUAAGUGAGGUGCGGUUUGUUAGUUGAGGGUCUAAGAGCCAGGAGACAAAAAUGAGCCAAAUGACUCAAGAGCUAAAAAGGGCCUGGGUCUGUGCUGAGUGAGAGGAGGGGGACAGAGCCUAAGUUUGUGGUAUCUGAAAUUUCUUUUCUUUUCUUUCUUUUUUUUUUUUUUGUUUGUUUUUUUCGAGACAGGGUUUUUCUAUGUAGCCUUGGCUGUCCUGGAAUUCACUCUGUAGACCAGGCUGGCCUUGAACUCAGAAAUCCGUCUGCCUCUGCCUCCCAAGUGCUGGGAUUAAAGGCGUGCACCACCACACCCGGCUGUUUCAACCUUCCUAAAGCUGCAACCCUUUACAGUUCCUCGUGCUGUGGUGACCACCAGCCAUAAAAUUAUUUUGUUGCUCCUGUAGCUGUGAUUUUGCUAGUGUUAUGGAUUGUAAUGUAAAUACCUGAUAUGCAGAAUAUUUGAUAUAUGGCCCCUAUGAAAAAGUCAUUUGACCGACAAAGGCCUUGCAAACCAAAGGUUGAGAACAGCUGGCCCGAGAGAUAGGCCUGCGAGACCAGGGGAUCUAUCCUGGAUCCGAUUAGAAUGGUCAGCAUCAACGUUUGUGUGAGUAGGGGAGUCCAGCGGGUGCUUUAGAAUGUCACUCUUUGGACCAGUGGCUUCUGUGGGCAGGGACUCUGGGGGAGGAGCUGGGCCACCUGAGUAAGGGCUCUGAGGUCAGGCGUGCAGAUUGACACCAUCACUGGUACCGUAAGAAGAAGAUGCACUG